GCAGUCGAGCGAACAGAUAAGGAGCUUGCUCCUUUGACGUUAGCGGCGGACGGGUGAGUAACACGUGGAUAACCUACCUAUAAGACUGGGAUAACUUCGGGAAACCGGAGCUAAUACCGGAUAACAUAUUGAACCGCAUGGUUCAGUAGUGAAAGGCGGCUUUGCUGUCACUUAUAGAUGGAUCCGCGCCGUAUUAGCUAGUUGGUAAGGUAACGGCUUACCAAGGCAACGAUACGUAGCCGACCUGAGAGGGUGAUCGGCCACACUGGAACUGAGACACGGUCCAGACUCCUACGGGAGGCAGCAGUAGGGAAUCUUCCGCAAUGGGCGAAAGCCUGACGGAGCAACGCCGCGUGAGUGAUGAAGGUCUUCGGAUCGUAAAACUCUGUUAUCAGGGAAGAACAAAUGUGUAAGUAACUGUGCACAUCUUGACGGUACCUGAUCAGAAAGCCACGGCUAACUACGUGCCAGCAGCCGCGGUAAUACGUAGGUGGCAAGCGUUAUCCGGAAUUAUUGGGCGUAAAGCGCGCGUAGGCGGUUUUUUAAGUCUGAUGUGAAAGCCCACGGCUCAACCGUGGAGGGUCAUUGGAAACUGGAAAACUUGAGUGCAGAAGAGGAAAGUGGAAUUCCAUGUGUAGCGGUGAAAUGCGCAGAGAUAUGGAGGAACACCAGUGGCGAAGGCGACUUUCUGGUCUGUAACUGACGCUGAUGUGCGAAAGCGUGGGGAUCAAACAGGAUUAGAUACCCUGGUAGUCCACGCCGUAAACGAUGAGUGCUAAGUGUUAGGGGGUUUCCGCCCCUUAGUGCUGCAGCUAACGCAUUAAGCACUCCGCCUGGGGAGUACGACCGCAAGGUUGAAACUCAAAGGAAUUGACGGGGACCCGCACAAGCGGUGGAGCAUGUGGUUUAAUUCGAAGCAACGCGAAGAACCUUACCAAAUCUUGACAUCCUUUGACCGCUCUAGAAAUAGAGUUUUCCCC
rnacentral:rRNA from 1 species